CAUGACUCAAUCUUUGUUUCUCUUCGCAUUCUUUUUUACCUUCCCCUGAUUGGGAGGCGUUUUUCCGUAUAAAGAAAGCAUGCGAAGAAAAACAAAAAAGCCUCCCAAUCGGGGGGCUUUUUUCAU
rfam:Hafnia alvei FB1, complete genome.